GUGCUCACUUCAGCAGCACAUAUACUAAAAUUGGAACAAUACCAAGAAGUUUUGCAUGACCCCUGUACAAGAAUGACAUGGAAACGCAUGAAGCAUUCUGUAUUUUA